GACGAACGCUGGCGGCGUGCUUAACACAUGCAAGUCGAACGGAAAGGCCCUGCUUUUGUGGGGUGCUCGAGUGGCGAACGGGUGAGUAACACGUGAGUAACCUGCCCUUGACUUUGGGAUAACUUCAGGAAACUGGGGCUAAUACCGGAUAGGAGCUCCUGCUGCAUGGUGGGGGUUGGAAAGUUCCGGCGGUUGGGGAUUGACUCGCGGCUUAUCAGCUUGUUGGUGGGGUAGUGGCUUACCAGGGCUUUGACGGGUAGCCGGCCUGAGAGGGUGACCGGCCACAUUGGGACUGAGAGACGGACCAGAAUCCUACGGGAGGCAGCAGUGGGGAAUAUUGCAGAAUGGGCGGAAGCCUGAUGCAGCAACGCCGCGUGCGGGAUGACGGCCUUCGGGUUGUAAACCGCUUUCGCCUGUGACGAAGCGUGAGUGACGGUAAUGGGUAAAGAAGCACCGGCUAACUACGUG
rnacentral:rRNA from 1 species